CUUCGUACAGCUUGCUGCCCGUCUAAACUCAGUGAUCUGUGAGAAUGGCCUUAGUCAGCAAGGCGACCAAGAACCCAUUGAUCCCUCUGUCAGAGCUCCAGCAUUACUCUGUGGAGAGAGGAGAACCUUCCAGAAGGACAACCAUCUCUGCAGUAAUCCACCAAUCAGGCCUGUAUGGUAGAGUUGUCAGACAAAAGCCACUCCUUAGUAAAAGGUAUCUGGCAGCCUGCCUGGAGUU